rnacentral:rRNA from 1 species
UCGGGAAUUUUGGGCAAUGGGCGAAAGCCUGACCCAGCAACGCCGCGUGAAGGAUGAAGUAUUUCGGUAUGUAAACUUCGUAAGAAUAGGAAGAAUAAAUGACGGUACUAUUUGUAAGGUCCGGCUAACUACGUGCCAGCAGCCGCGGUAAUACGUAGGGACCAAGCGUUGUUCGGAUUUACUGGGCGUAAAGGGCGCGUAGGCGGUGUGUCAAGUCAGUUGUGAAAUCUCCGAGCUUAACUCGGAACGGUCAACUGAUACUGUUCACACUAGAGUACAGAAGGGGCAAUCGGAAUUCUUGGUGUAGCGGUGAAAUGCGUAGAUAUCAAGAGGAACACCUGAGGUGAAGACGGGUUGCUGGGCUGACACUGACGCUGAGGCGCGAAAGC